CAGACCCAAAUCUGAUCUUUUCCAAUGUGGCCGCAGUGUGAACAGCCAAGGCGGAUUUGAUGCGACUUUUACGUCAAUCUACAUCGACAUUCGUCACAAUUAUGCGCCGGCGAAAACGUUUUUUUUUUUCUUUUUGCGCCGGCGAAAACGUGACACAAACGUGACUGGUAACGUGUGUGUUAAGAGUGUUAUAUAAAGUGGUUACGUGAACCAGCUCAUAAUGCUGGCAUUGAAUACAUCACAUUAUAGCAUUACAUGAUAUGUUUGCUUGCACCAGAUGAUACAAUACUUCCUCCAUAACCUCGCCAACUUUUUAGCGCAACGGCGUGCUGCGUGUGACGUCAUUGUUAUUGUUCGUUUGCGCAUGCGGGUCAGUUCGAAACAGCAAACCGUUCACACUGGUAUCUGAUAUAGGCCAUAUUUUAAAAGGUAAUGUGAACAGCCAAACAAAAAAAAUCAGAUCUGAGCAAAAUAUCCGAAUUGAGCAUUAAGACUUGCAGUGUGAACGCGGCCUAUGAAGCAUUGGACAAACACUCUACACGUUUGAUUAAAAUUUUCAGGAAAAAAGGAGGAAACCAAGGAAGAAUGCUUGAUGCAAUUCUGCGUCAAGUUGAUUUAAAGUACUUCAUGGCCUUCCAAUCCUCCUGGGGGAUGAUUCUGUGGAAUUUUUCAGGAAAUGCUUUGAUUCAGAUGUGAAUGUAGACCUGAGUUUUCUCGAGGGAAAAAUUGUGGUUGGUGAUGUCCCAAACUUGCCACAUGCUUUGAUCUAUGCUCUAAAUUUAGACUACCCAAAGACAAUGAGAAGCACAUUUGAUGCUAUUCACAGAGUAUUUCUGUCAUUGGGAAGUAAGAAUCUCAAGCCCAAACUUCAAACUCUUAAAAACUAAGCUGCUGUUUUUGCUUUUGACAAAUUAAAUGUUACAAAGAUUUAAAAUUCUUUCAGCAUCAGAGGGCUCAGUUGUUUGUUUGUUUUUUUUUUUAAAGAAUUGUUAUAACUAAAGCUUUCAGUUAAAUGUCUGUUUUAGACUUUAUUUUGUAAUUUUUAUUUAAAGUUGAGAACUGGAAUCUAAAGGGAUAGUUCAACCAAAAAUGGAACUUCUGUAAUCAUUUACUCACCCUAUUGUUAUUUUAAACGUGUGAUUUUUUUUUUUUUUUCUUUUGCAGAACAUAAAAGAUGAAAAAAUAGAAGUAGCAAAAAAACUGCUGGCACUCUUUCACUUGUCAUUUGGCAAUAGAAGUCAACGGGUGCCAGUGGUUCUUUGGUAUACCAACAUUCUUCAGAAUAUCUUGUUUUGUGUUCUGCAGAAAAAAGUCUAAUAGGUUUGAAAUGACAA